UGCCAUAGUUGGAAGGCAGGUAGAAGGUAGUGAGGCCCCCUCAGCCUUCAUCCCAGCAGCUGGGGCUACACUAUACCAGCUCCCAGUCUAGAUGGGUGCUGAGCACAGGGAUUAAAAUCAUGAAUAGGGGCUCAGGCCUUACUCUCAGCAGCUCAUAGUCUAAGGGGAUUCCAGUACCACCAUCUACGUGAGUGUAUAAAUUCUGCCUCCUCCUUUCCCCCAGUCCAGCUUCCUUGGGUAAGCCUGCUGGAGGGAAUGGACACGGGGAUGGGGGUGAAGGGCAGCUACCCAGACCCCUGGUGGCAGGCCCCAAGCCCACUAAGCACCCAGCCAGGGCAGUGUGGAGCACAAGGCCUGUUGGAGCUCAGGCCACACCCACUCAUACUGGCCUCCACAUGCCCUUCUGUGUUCCCAGAAGUCGACAGUGUGGGGAGUUGGAGUGACCCGGCUGGAUGUGACCCCCAGGACAGAAUGGUGCUGGACUCAGGGGCUCAAGUGUAUGAACAGGCACCCCCCAGCCCACCAACCAGUCCCUCAUCCUUGGGCCAUAGGCUGAAGCCCUCAGACCGAGAUGGGACACUGCUGUACCCCUGGCCUCAGUCCCUGGCCUUGCCCCUGGCUCUGUCAAUCCCCUCAGCCCUGCGGCCCCAGCCUGAGCUGCAGCCCUUCUCAGAGCUGCACGUGGGCCCCCGUGGCCACAUGCGUCGCAGUGAGAGCACCUAUACUGUAAAUAGUACUGGCCGGCGGGGGGGUGGCACCCAGGGUCGGGGCCCACCUGGACGGGGACGGGACCCAGGCGGGGGCACCCUGCGGUCUGCAGCCUCCCUGCCUCACAUUGCUAAGACUCGAAAGGAUGCGGGCCAUGGUGCCAGCAAGAGCCCUUGCAUGUUGGUGGCCUUGAGGCCAACCAAUAUGGACCGAGAGCGGGACAAGUUCUUCCAGUCCCACUACACCUACAACCCACAGUUCGAGUACCAGGAGCCCAUGCCCACGGCUGUGCUGGAGAAGUACUGUGAGGCUUCUGGACAGUUCAUCCAUCAGGCAGUUGGCAUCAUUGAGGCUGUCCUGGAGAAGUUUGGUACCUAUGAACACUUUGAAGCUGCAACGGGGGGCCAGCUGCUGACCAAGUGCCAGAUCUGGUCCAUUGUUCGCAAAUACAUGCAGAAGGAGGGCUGUGUUGGGGAGGUUGUGGUGCAGCUGAGUGAAGACCUGCUGUCCCAGGCAGUGAUGAUGGUGGAGAACAGCCGACCAACAUUGGCCAUCAACCUGACUGGGGCCCGCCAGUAUUGGUUGGAGGGCAUGCUGCGGCACGAGAUAGGCACUCACUACCUGCGGGGCGUGAACAACGCGCGGCAGCCGUGGCACAGCGCUGAGGGCCGGCUGCAGUACGGGCUGCGGCCGGCGAACCCCACGGAGGAGGGCUUGGCCAGCCUGCACAGCGUGCUGUUCCGCAAGCAGCCCUUUCUGUGGCGCGCCGCACUGCUCUACUACACCAUCCAUCGCGCCUCGCGCAUGUCCUUCCGCCAGCUCUUCCAGGACCUGGCGCGCUAUGUGCAGGACGCCGACGUGCGCUGGGAGUACUGCGUGCGCGCCAAGCGCGGCCAGACUGACACCUCGCUGCCCGGCUGCUUCAGCAAGGAUCAGGUGUACCUGGAUGGCAUCGUGCGCAUUCUGCGGCACCGCCAGACCAUCGAUUUCCCAUUGCUGACCUCACUGGGCAAGGUCCCUUCCCUCAAGCUGACCUAGAGAACCGUGACGGGGGAACCGUGGGGCUGGCAGAAGCUGGCACGCCGGCGUUCAGCGGUGGGUGUGGGGUCUGCGGUGCCUGAGGGAGAUCCCAGGGAAGGUGUUCAGGAGGCAGCUGGAUACCUAGGUUUGGAGGUGUCCUAUGAGGAUGUAGACCACCUGCGGCCCCAUGGGGUGCUGGCCAAUACCCGGGUGCCCCACUUCAUGCAAGACUUGGCGCGCUACCGGCAGCAGCUGGAGCACAUCAUGGCCACCAACCGGCUG